rnacentral:rRNA from 1 species
AAUCCGGAGGGGGAGACGACCGAGCGAAGUUUGGUAGAUCGUAGGGAUUGUCGCUGGCCUUUGGCAACGAAGGCAUGUGCACGUUCCGAGCUCUCCUUAGUCCUCGUUCGCUCUUCCUUUGGAGAUCUUUCUCAACACCUGUGCACCUUAUUGUAGGUUCCGCAAGGGAUCUAUGUCUUUAUCUACCCCCAAACGCAUGUCUUAGAAUGUCAUUAAUGCGUCGAUCGGCCUGGCUAACGCCUCGUCGGCGACGGUAAAGAAUCAUACAACUUUCAGCAACGGAUCUCUUGGCUCUCGCAUCGAUGAAGAACGCAGCGAAUUGCGAUACGUAAUGUGAAUUGCAGAUUUUCAGUGAAUCAUCGAAUCUUUGAAUGCACCUUGCGCUCCUUGGUAUUCCGAGGAGCAUGCCUGUUUGAGUGUCAUCGAAUUCUCAACCACCCUUUGAUUUAUUUCGAGGGAUGGCUUGGAUUUUGGGAGUUGCUGGCUGACCCCUCGGGGACGGUCGGCUCUCCUUAAAAGCAUUAGCGAAAGGCGACGAGCCUUGCAUGCACGGCCUUCGACGUGAUAAUGAUCGUCGUGGCUGGAGUGCGAGGCGUAGAUAGUCCUUUUGCUUCCAAAAACAUUGGUAUUUUGGGGACUUUGCUUAGGCGGACGAACCUUUUUGCCCUUUUGACGCUUGACCUCAAAUCAGGUAGGACUACCCGCUGAACUUAAGCAUAUCAAUAAGCGGAGGAAAAGAAACUAACAAGGAUUCCCCUAGUAACUGCGAGUGAAGCGGGAAGAGCUCAAAUUUUGAAUCUGGCGGUCUUUCGGCCGUCCGAGUUGUAAUCUAGAGAAGCGUCUUCCGCGCUGGACCGUG